AUGGUGCGUGAAAAUAAAGGAAUGCAUAAAAAAUAAAAAGGAGUUAAGAGGAGUGGAUGAGAAGGACUCUUCCUUCUCACUGCUAUUUAUUUUGGGCGUCCCAUAAUUUUUGCAUGUGGUUUGGUAUGGAGGAUUUCAAGAUUAGGUGAAACACUAUCAAAAUAAAUUAGUUAAGCCAUCUCAUGACUUAAGGAUUGAACCUA
rnacentral:lncRNA from 1 species